CCUGAAACUCAAGGUAUUUAGUGAGACUCACUCUCUCUCUCUUAACUCUUCUUUUCCUCUACUCCUAGGACCUCCACUAAGAGUCUCCUCCUCCACCAUAUGAAUCUUGCAUGAAGCUGUUACUCAUCCACGUUUGGAAAAAUUUUAUUUGGAUCAUAUUGACCAAGCACGUGCCUUCCCUGAGAGGUCCUUCCACAACUUAGUAACUUUCAUUCGUCUGGCUGCUUGGGGGCUUGGUCCUAAGCCUACUACAAAGAACCUUGCACAUGAGGAGACUAAUUGUCGAAGUAAGUAUCGUCCAUCAUUUUGUUUUUUACUAACUUCAUCCUCUUUAAUAUAGGGGUGGCCACUAUGAAGGAAAAUAAAGGGAAAGGCAUUGCAAGUGGUACUGAGGGUGAAGAGGAUGUACAGGUCUUGGACAAUGUCACUCCUCUGGUAGUCCAGAACCUUGGCACCUAGGCUGGAAAGAGGAAGGGUAUAUCCAGCUCUGUGGACCUUGGUGACCUUCCUACUCGUCGAGGUUCCAAGAAACAGAUAUCUGGCAAGACUCCUCCUCCCAAGGUUCCAAAGUUGCCUUCUACGACAGUACAUCUGGAUGCCUCGGCAGUGAACUUGGUACCCCAAACCACUCCAUCUAUCCAAACUACUCCACUCAUCCAACCUGAUGAUCCUACUCCUCCUGCAGCCAAAGCUCCUCACAAGGCUCACCCUUCAAAGAAAGGCAAAUGUCCUCCCAACUUGGUACUGGAUGAAGGUUAUGCUUGGAAGAUGUUCAAAGGACUCAUUACUGACAAUAAGGUGAACUCAUGUUACAACAUGUCAGUGAGGGAUUUUGAACGUUUUGCCAUCCAUGACCUCUUCAUGGCCAUGUCCAAGUUUUACACUACGUCCACCUAAACUAAGUAGCUUUACAUUGAGACUAAGGAAGAAAAGGAGAAGAACAAGGAGCUGAGCAAUGAGGUUCUUCUAAAGAAGAGGGAGGUGAUCAGAUUGACUGAGGAUCUCAAUUGUCUACAGGGAAUUGAGCAAAAACUAAAGAAUGAAGUGGAGGAGCUCAAGGCAGACUCUAUUGAAAAGGAAACUCGUAUCACUCACCUCGAGGUGAAGGUUUAAGAGUUUACUUCAUCUAUGGAGAAGGCUCAAAAGGAAGCUGUCACAGCCUUCAUGAGGUCAACCGAGUUCAAGACUCAUCUAGAUCGUCAUUAUGCUGCUGGCUAUGAAGACUUCCAUGCUGAUGCCAAGGAGGCCUACCCUAAAAUGGAUUUUGACUCCUUCAUGAUCCCCACUGCUGCUGAGAGUUCCCUGCUUCCGACGAGCUCUGAGGACAUCAAUGUGAUGGACGAUACUUCAACUGAACCUGCCCAAGACGCCACUGAUGUCAACAAAGACGACCCAAA